GACGAACGCUGGCGGCGUGCUUAACACAUGCGAGUCGAACGGAAAGACCCUGCUUUUGUGGGGUGCUCGAGUGGCGAACGGGUGAGUAACACGUGAGUAACCUGCCCUUGACUUUGGGAUAACUUCAGGAAACUGGGGCUAAUACCGGAUAGGAGCUCCUGCUGCAUGGUGGGGGUUGGAAAGUUUCGGCGGUUGGGGAUGGACUCGCGGCUUAUCAGCUUGUUGGUGGGGUAGUGGCUUACCAAGGCUUUGACGGGUAGCCGGCCUGAGAGGGUGACCGGCCACAUUGGGACUGAGAUACGGCCCAGACUCCUACGGGAGGCAGCAGUGGGGAAUAUUGCACAAUGGGCGGAAGCCUGAUGCAGCAACGCCGCGUGCGGGAUGACGGCCUUCGGGUUGUAAACCGCUUUCGCCUGUGACGAAGCGUGAGUGACGGUAAUGGGUAAAGAAGCACCGGCUAACUACGUG
rnacentral:rRNA from 1 species